GGAAAAAUGGCUGAGCGGUUUAAAGCGAAGAUUUGCUAAAUCUUUAUGCCCAUUUUAAAAGCAUCAUAGGUUCAAAUCCUAUUUUUUCUA
rnacentral:tRNA from 1 species